rnacentral:rRNA from 1 species
AAGAGACAGCAGCAGCCGCGGGAAUACGUAGGUGGCAAGCGUUGUCCGGAAUUAUUGGGCGUAAAGCGCGCGCAGGCGGAUAGGUCAGUCUGUCUUAAAAGUUCGGGGCUUAACCCCGUGAUGAGAUGGAAACUGCCAAUCUAGAGUAUCGGAGAGGAAAGUGGAAUUCCUAGUGUAGCGGUGAAAUGCGUAGAUAUUAGGAAGAACACCAGUGGCGAAGGCGACUUUCUGGACGAAAACUGACGCUGAGGCGCGAAAGCCAGGGGAGCGAACGGGAUUAGAUACCCCUGUAGUCCCUGUCUCUUAUACA